GCUUUUGCUAAUCUACCGCAGGUGACCAUGACAAUCCAGGUUCUGUGAACUACUGCUUGUGAUAAUCUACAGCAGAUGACCAUGACAAUCCAGGUUCUGUGGAUCGACUGCUUGUGCUAAUCUACCGCAGGUGACCAUAACAAUCCAGAUAACUUCAGGAUAUUUAGAAGGCAUAUAAUGACAGUGAGCGGGACCAAAACUCUG